rnacentral:rRNA from 1 species
UACGAAGGGGGCUAGCGUUGCUCGGAAUCACUGGGCGUAAAGCGCUCGUAGGCGGAUUGUUAAGUCGGGGGUGAAAUCCUGGAGCUCAACUCCAGAACUGCCUUCGAUACUGGCAAUCUUGAGUCCGGGAGAGGUGAGUGGAACUCCGAGUGUAGAGGUGAAAUUCGUAGAUAUUCGGAAGAACACCAGUGGCGAAGGCGGCAUCCUGGUCUGCGACUGACGCUGUGGCGCGAAAGCUAGGGGAGCGAACGGG